rnacentral:lncRNA from 1 species
GCAGAUGCGCUUCAUGGGAUCAUUCUAUGGCGAAAACGCUACAUCAUUAUUCCCAGCACGGAGCCAUCUCCUCAGAGCUCAAGACCGCUCCCCGUAGAUCCCCAGUAGUGACCUUCUCCUCAUAGCUCGAGACCGUCAUCUCCUGCACAACCUGCUCCAGGACCGUCCCUUCCAUCUGUAUCAAGGUCUCCAUCUCCACCACAUCCUGGUGGUGGGAGCAACGACGACAAUAACAACACCCCUCCCCGAUCACCGUCGCCGGCACCAAGAGCGGCCCCCAUGAAGGAACCUGCACCACCACUAAAGAAGUCACGAGC